ACUUAUUGUUCCUGUUUUUUUAGUGAGGAAGAAUUUUCCACAUUAAAAGAAUGGGCAUUAGUUUCUAUGCUACAACAUUUUUGGUGUGGUGGAUAGUUUUUGUGCUUUUCAUCUUUAUACAGAAGUAGUUAUUAAAAAAAGAAGGAAAAAAAAGGAGGUAAGUUCUGCUUACCAAACCAAAAUUAGGAUUUUAAUUCUGAAUUCAUGUGUAGUUCCCUCCGUUGUGUCAUAUGCAAGGUGAACAUUAUGUUGAAAGAGUAGUAUUUGUAGUGGUGUCUCAUGUGUGAGAUUUGUAAUAUUAGUUUAUAUAAGGGUAGGUAGCGUUUGUUUAGUCAUAAUUUUCUAAUUAGGAUUUAGCUUUUGUUAUAUAUAUAUAUAUAUAUAUAUUAUUGCUUGUAAUCUUCUUAUUAAUGUAAUGCAAAAUAUCGUUUCCCUUUUCUUAUAUGGUAUCAAAGCAUUUACAACCCUAGCUACCACCAUCAUCCAUUGCCAAUUAGGGUUUUGUUGGUCACAGCCGCUUCUCUUUCUUAUAAUCGUUUGUCGUUGUUAGGGUUUCGUUGGUCACAAUCCCUUCUUCUCUUUUUCGGGUUGUUUACCGCAAUUAGGGUUUACUCAAUUGUAGUCCCGUCAGUGGUAGCCCUCUUUCUUCCAUCGAUGGUGGCUCAUCUUCUCUUAUCUUCUGUCGAUCGCUCCUCCUCCUCUACUCAGUCUUUUCUGGUUGUAAUCCUCUUCUCUAGUUCGUGGUUGUUCGAAGAUCUGAGUGUUAUGUUCUCGAUCUGGAUUGUGGUAACCUUCAGUGGGUCCUUGCUUCAAUUGUGACUGGUAAUAUUAGGUCUUCCAGUUGAGUAGCUGAUUCGAAGAUGAUUUGCCGCACGGCACAGUGGAAGAUGGGGAGCCUAGCUGCUGAUUGGGCAACGAAUGUCGUUUACUUUUUUGACUCAGAAGAUGGACUUGUCAGCUGUUAUUUCACAUGAAUGGCUAGAUAAAGCUUUUAACUUAAUCCAGUGUUGGUAAAAUAUGCCUAUCCUCUUGGGAUUUACUUCCUUGUGUUGAUGAUUUUAGUUAAUGUGUAUGGCUGUUAUAAUAUCUUCAUUCAUACUUGCUGCAUUGAGUGUAUCUUUGCUGUAAUUUUUCCCCAACUAAUCUCCAAAGUCCUUUGGAGAUCCACUGAUGAGAAACCAUAUAUAUACACUAUUUAAUGUUGGUUCGCUUGUU